AGGGAGAGCAUCCAUGUCAGCUCUCAAACCAAACGAUGGUUGAUGACCCGACCCGACAAUUCCAACCAGACCCGUUUUCGCUACCGGCGAUACAUACUCAAUCCCCAUCAAAUCCAGUUCAUCUCGAAUCAAUUGACUGGUUUUGUAUUCUUCAAAAGCUAAUUCUGGGUACUCAUGGAUUCUCCUCCGAACCCUUUUUAACCAAUUGAAAAACUCCGGCUGCUUCGCCGAUUCAAAAAGUUCAUGAGCUAACAACUCAGUUUCAGAUCUCAAAAGGGUCUCUUCUACAGACCAUGAAUUGUACGGAAAACUUGUUAAUACCA
rnacentral:misc_RNA from 1 species